rnacentral:tRNA from 1 species
AUUGGAAUGUCUGAAUAAUAGGUGAUAAAUUGUAAAUUUAUUUAUGAAUUGAUANUUCUUCCAGUA